CGACGGACGACUGGUUAGGUAUCGUGAUCAUGCGCAUCCAGCGGCCCAGAACACGGAGUGAUUGAUCGCAUUGAAUGACUGAGAGCCGCCGCUCACCUGCAUGACAGCGAGGGUUUUCCCUUGGGUCGGCCGUACCGCGCCGAUUGUUAAAGGAAUCCAGUCGAUCUGUGCCUUCAUGAUGCCGGUCAUUGCGCCGUGACGCUCUGGACUGCACCAUAUCUGGCCUUCCGACCGUGCUGA
rnacentral:misc_RNA from 1 species